UCGCCGUAGCAACCAGAGACGCGCUAGGUCCACCACCAAGCUUGCAAGCAGAAGAGGAGGCAAGUGAUGCUGAAGGCUGUGCUGCAGCCACUUCACUGGAACCUAGAGCUACCUGUGAACAGACAAACUGAAGAAAAGACCCCCUUCCCCAAGCAUUUUCCUGUUAAACAACAAAGCCAAGACAUUCUCUUUCUUCCUAUGUGAUUCUGAAGUGCAAGGCAACCCAAACAAAAGGUUGGAGUGCAAUGGCACGAUCUCGGAUCACUGCAAGUGACC